AGCUCCAAUAGCGUAUAUUAAAGUUGUUGCAGUUAAAAAGCUCGUAGUUGGAUCUCGGGUCCAGGCUUGCGGUCCACUCCUUGGUGGUUACUGCUCGUCCUGACCUACCAUCCGGUUUGCCCUUGGUGCUCUUGACUGAGUGCUUCGGGUGGCCGGAACGUUUACUUUGAAAAAAUUAGAGUGUUCAAAGCAGGCAUUUCGCCUGAAUAAUGGUGCAUGGAAUAAUGGAAUAGGACCUCGGUUCUAUUUUGUUGGUUUUCGGAACUUGAGGUAAUGAUUAAGAGGGACAGACGGGGGCAUUCGUAUUACGGUGUUAGAGGUGAAAUUCUUGGAUCGCCGUAAGACGAACUACUGCGAAAGCAUUUGCCAAGAAUGUUUUCA
rnacentral:rRNA from 1 species